AGCGAACGCUGGCGGCAGGCUUAACACAUGCAAGUCGAGGGGAGCGGCCGACGGGUGAGUAACGCGUGGGAACGUACCUUUUGGUUCGGAACAACACAGGGAAACUUGUGCUAAUACCGGAUACCGAAAGAUCGGCCCGCGUCUGAUUAGCUAGUUGGUGAGGUAAUGGCUCACCAAGGCGACGCUCAGUAGCUGGUCUGAGAGGAUGAGCAGCCACAUUGGGACUGAGACACGGCCCAAACUCCUACGGGAGGCAGCAGUGGGGAAUAUUGGACAAUGGGGGCAGCCAUGAUCCAGCCAUGCCGCGUUAGUGAUGAAGGCCCUAGGGUGGUAAAGCUAUUGUGUGCGGGAAGCGGUACCGCAAGAAUAAGCCCCGGCUAACUUCGUGCCAGCAGCCGCGGUAAUUC
rnacentral:rRNA from 1 species